UGAGGAAUAUUGGUCAAUGGGCGAGAGCCUGAACCAGCCAAGUAGCGUGCUCCUACGGGAGGCAGCAGUGAGGAAUAUUGGUCAAUGGACGAGAGUCUGAACCAGCCAAGUAGCGUGAAGGAUGACUGCCCUAUGGGUUGUAAACUUCUUUUAUAUGGGAAUAAAGUGGUCCACGUGUGGAUUUUUGUAUGUACCAUAUGAAUAAGGAUCGGCUAACUCCGUGCCAGCAGCCGCGGUAAUACGGAGGAUCCGAGCGUUAUCCGGAUUUAUUGGGUUUAAAGGGAGCGUAGGUGGACAGUUAAGUCAGUUGUGAAAGUUUGCGGCUCAACCGUAAAAUUGCAGUUGAUACUGGCUGUCUUGAGUACAGUAGAGGUGGGCGGAAUUCGUGGUGUAGCGGUGAAAUGCUUAGAUAUCACGAAGAACUCCGAUUGCGAAGGCAGCUCACUGGACUGCAACUGACACUGAUGCUCGAAAGUGUGGGUAUCAAACAGGAUUAGAUACCCUGGUAGUCCACACAGUAAACGAUGAAUACUCGCUGUUUGCGAUAUACAGUAAGCGGCCAAGCGAAAGCAUUAAGUAUUCCACCUGGGGAGUACGCCGGCAACGGUGAAACUCAAAGGAAUUGACGGGGGCCCGCACAAGCGGAGGAACAUGUGGUUUAAUUCGAUGAUACGCGAGGAACCUUACCCGGGCUUAAAUUGCAUUUGAAUAUAUUGGAAACAGUAUAGCCGUAAGGCAAAUGUGAAGGUGCUGCAUGGUUGUCGUCAGCUCGUGCCGUGAGGUGUCGGCUUAAGUGCCAUAACGAGCGCAACCCUUAUCUUCAGUUACUAACAGGUUAUGCUGAGGACUCUGGAGAGACUGCCGUCGUAAGAUGUGAGGAAGGUGGGGAUGACGUCAAAUCAGCACGGCCCUUACGUCCGGGGCUACACACGUGUUACAAUGGGGGGUACAGAAGGCCGCUACCUGGUGACAGGGUGCUAAUCCCAAAAGCCUCUCUCAGUUCGGAUCGAAGUCUGCAACCCGACUUCGUGAAGCUGGAUUCGCUAGUAAUCGCGCAUCAGCCAUGGCGCGGUGAAUACGUUCCC
rnacentral:rRNA from 1 species